UCGUAGCAUAGUGUGCUUUGUUGUACCUGCAUCAGCAAAGCAGAUAAGCUCAGCCUCUCUUCAUCUGGAAAAGGGGCAGAGGAAGAGAACCAGGAGACAGUGCGGUACUUAAGGAUUAUUGUGAAGAUUUCAGGGAACAAGACAACAGUCAGGUGGCAGCCAGGAUUAGUUGCUCCAUCUCCUCCCCAAGGAUUGAGGUGUGCCUGCACAAGCAAGGAGGUUGGAUGUGGUCUCCAGAGGUCCCUUCCAACCCCUACCAUUCUGUCAUUCUGUGAUUCUGUGAGUACAUUGGCCUUUUCUGUGUCCUCUGUCACCAGGUGCCCUGACUCAUUUAACAGUGGGCACACAUUUUCCCUAGUCUCUCUUUUGCUGUUGAUGUACCUAUAGAAACCUCUCUCUUGUCUUUCACAUCCCUCACCAGAUUCAACUCCAGGCAGGCUUUGGCUUUCCUAAGUGGAUCCCUGCAUCCUUGGCCAGUGUCUCUAUAUUUCUCUAUAUCACCUAACCCUACCUCCACCUCUCAAAUGUCUCUUUUUCUAUCUUUGAGUUUUGUCAAAAGCUUCUUGUUCAUCCAUGCAGGCCUCCUGCCACCUUUGCUUGACUUCUGGCAUGUGGGGAUGGACAACUCUUGGGUCUGGAGGAGGUGAUCCUUGAAAAUCAGCCAGCUCUCCUCCUCUCUUCUUCAGAAUGGUCUCACAUGGGAUUCUUCCAAGCAAGCCCCUGAACAGGCCAAAGUUUGCUUUCCUGAUAUCCAGGGUUGUUAACCUGCUGUUUGCGUUCUCUCAGUAUCCUGAGCUCAACUUCCCAUGGUCAAGGUGGCCAGGGAUGCCCCUGACCUUCACAUUUCCAACCAGUUCUUCUUUGUUUGUGAAAAUCAGGUCCUACAGAGCAUCUCCCUUCUUCAUUUCCUCAACCCCCUUUGUCAGAAAAUUGUCAUCAGUGCACUCCAGACACCUCCUGGAUUGCUUUUGCCCUGCUGUGUUGCCCCACCAAAAGAUAUCAGGGUUAAUAAAGGCUUGUGUGAAGACCUGGGCCAGAGAACAUGAAAUUUCUUCCAGUUGUCUGAAGGAGGCCUGAUCUGCUUAUUCUACCUGAUCAGGCAGACUGAAGCAGACACCCACACCAAUGUCAUCCAUGUUGGUCUGCCCGCCAGCCCAGACUGAUAAGCUCUCAGCUGGCUCAUGGCAGAGCUCCAUGCAUCCCUGCUUCUCUCCAAAAUACUGGGCACCUCUCCCUCCUCACCAUCCCAUCCUGUCCUUCCCAAAGAGCCUGUAUCCAGCCAUUGCAGCACUCCAACUGUAUGAGUGGGAUUUGCCCAUUAAUCAGAGAUUUCUAAAUUGUAGGCUCCAUCUACUGAAGAAUUCAAAGGUGGGAGUUUUUCAUUUUUAUUUCUUUUCCAAACAAUUGGCAACAAACAGAAAGUCCAUUUCUCAGUACCAUUGCAAAGUGCACGUGUUAUGGUCAAAUAUUUCCUAUGCUGCUGUCACUUUUGUAACAAAUAAAUAUUUCUAUCAAAUGGUUCGUAUCAACAAAAUUAAACAGAAAUAAUAAAUGGCUUGCUAAUAUUUUUCUGUGAGCCAGUUUUUAAAUGGGUCACAUUGUUCUUCUCUUUACUAGCAACCUAAAAUAGAAGUUAUUAUAACAACAGUGGUUUUCACAUAAUAGAAUAUUAUGUGAAAUUGAGUUUGGUAAUGUUUUUCCUUGAAAAUUAAGGCUAUAGUAGUUUAGUUACUGAAAAUUAUCAUAGUUUGCCUUUUAUUUUUCUAUCUAAAAGCAAUAUUCUUGAUAGUAAAAAUUGCAGUUGGAGUUCUGAGUAGAGAAAACUAUAUCUUGGUUCAGGCAAUAAGGAAAAUGAAUGUUUAGGUUGAGAGCAUAGUAUUAUUGAGGCAUCUUUUCCCUUCAUGGGCCAAAUUCUCUGCCGGAAUAUUUGAUGCAGUUCCACAGACCUCGGUGGGACUGCACCAAUUUGUGUUACAGCAAAUACAGUACUUUUUUGUUGUUGUUAAAACUGAACUAAGUUAUAAAAGUAAGGAUAGAAUUUAAGAAAAAAGCAUUGACAGCUUUUUAUUUCACAAAUCUUGGAUUUGAGAAGCUAUUUACAAAAAUCAAACUGUGAUCCAUUUCUUCCUAGAGUGUCUUGCAGAUGUGCGGUUGCAGCUCUUCAAUACCAAGGCAAAUAUGAGGUACCCACAAACACCAGCGGAAAGUCAGGCACAUGCAGCCCACCCAAGGCACACGGGGCCAUCCAAGAGUCACCAGCACCUCCGAGGGAGGGGUUUUUUACACACAUUGUGAAACACGCUGGGAAAAUGGAAAUUCAAAUGUGUACAUGGUACAAGUCAUUCUGCCCAGCUCAGAUUUGUGCAUUAUUGCACUGUUGGUGAGGAUUGUGUUCAGGCAAUGCCAAAUAGGGCUGUACAGAAUUCCUCCUCAGAAAACAGAUUUCCCCUCUAUCAUGUAAGCAGCUUCUGCUCCCACUCAGCUCUCAGUUCAGGAUUAAAGGGCAUCUCAGGGCUCCAUUUUGGUGGCUUAAGUUAAAGUAGGGCUAGAAUGGCCAAAAUAAUUUGCAACCCUUAAAAAUAUAAUAAGAGAAAAUAAAGAGGUCUUUCCACCACCUGCCAAGGAGAUUGGAAGUGCAGGACAGAACAGGCAGAAGUACAAGGUCCUGACUAUGCCAGGCACCAUGUGUUAGACUCUUCAGGGAUUUCUUCAGAGAGGUGAACUUCACUUGCACUGAGAUCAAUGAAAACCUGCACAUUCAAUCUGUUUCUCAUAAAAAAAAUACCUCUGAGUCUCUCCAGUGUGCAAGUCAGUACUGUCUGAAAGUCACAGGGAAAUGAAGGGCUGAAAGGCUAAGAAUUUCAUGCUUCUUUUUCUUUUUAUAUACCCUUUAUUCACGCAGAUCCUAUGGGAAGCAUAGGACUUCAGCACAGGGACAGCCAGAAAGAUUCAGGGCUGUUAAUUUAGUAGCUUGUUUAAAUCCCAAGGUAAACCAGUUGUGCUAAAUUAAUCUAUGAACCCUCACGUCAGAUCUAGAGACUCUGAGCAGUACAGAUAUUUUGAGAUGAACUAAUUGUGGUUGAGAGAAGGGAGAGUAUGAGCACUGUGUGCUGCAGUGGGGUUAGCGCACAGCGCAGUGCAAAAAGCUGACACAGGCAACACAGCCAGAACACCAGAGAUCAAAGACAUCCAGGCAUUUCUAAAAAUUAGUUGCUGGAAUAAUCACAGGUUUGAAAUGCUUGCUAGGAAACUGAGGAAGAUGUGCAGUGCAAAAAUGGGAGUUUCUGGAAGUGGUGGAGAUUGGAAAGAGCAGGGGAGACUACUGCUGACAGUUAAUAGAUUAAUAAAGAGCUGUCUCUCAUGGGAGUUUUUUCAGCUCUUAAGCAGGAAUCAGAGGCAGCCCAGCUAGUUUGUUUUCUAAACUCAGGCAGGACCGGUUAACAGUGCUUCCUCUCACCGAAGUGAAUUAGAGAAUACAGGUACUGCCAUCAUUAACAUCAUAUUGGAAAGCAGGGGGCAGGUCUUGACAAAUCGCAGGCGAAGGCUGCACCGUGGAGCCGAGCGAGAGCAGUGUUUGGGGUAACCCAAGGCUUCUUCUGGACAAUGCUCUUCCGUGAGCCCAGCGCUGGCAGACGCUGUGAGAUGGAUGCACUACGUCCAUCCCCACCCACCCCACAUCUAGCCUAACAUCAGUGCUAUGAAAGCACAUACAAAUUGUCAUGGUAUUGUCGAUUUAAUUGCUACAACCAAACAAGAAGGGAAUAAAGAAGACUUCCAAUGUGCUGCUGGUAAAUGUGGAAUUUGUAGUAUGUUGGUAUAUCCACCUUCAUUGGGUGGAUGACAUUUAUGAACUGAAAUUGACUUUUUUUUAUAAAUUAAUGAGAUUGCACUUUUGGUUUUACCCCUCUGCAUGAAUGGUGGAAAAUACUUUUUAAAUACUAUGCUGCAGAAAGAAAAUAAAAUUAAUA